rnacentral:rRNA from 1 species
CGAAGAACCUUACCUGGUCUUGACAUAGUAAGAACUUUCCAGAGAUGGAUUGGUGCCUUCGGGAACUUACAUACAGGUGCUGCAUGGCUGUCGUCAGCCCGUGUCGUGAGAUGUUGGGUUAAGUCCCGCAACGAGCGCAACCCUUUUCCUAUUUGCCAGCGGGUUAAGCCGGGAACUUUAAGGAUACUGCCAGUGACAAACUGGAGGAAGGCGGGGACGACGUCAAGUCAUCAUGGCCCUUACGACCAGGGCUACACACGUGCUACAAUGGUCGGUACAAAGGGUUGCUACCUAGCGAUAGGAUGCUAAUCUCAAAAAGCCGAUCGUAGUCCGGAUUGGAGUCUGCAACUCGACUCCAUGAAGUCGGAAUCGCUAGUAAUCGCGGAUCAGAAUGCCGCGGUGAAUACGUUCCCGGGCCUUGUACACACCGCCCGUCACACCAUGGGAGUUUGUUGCACCAGAAGUAGGUAGUCUAACCGCAAGGAGGACGCUUACCACGGUGUGGCCGAUGACUGGGGUGAAGUCGUAACAAGGUAAGCGUAGAUGA